UAUCACACUAAUAGAGUGAAA
rnacentral:piRNA from 1 species